rnacentral:rRNA from 1 species
UGGGGAAUAUUGGACAAUGGGCGAAAGCCUGAUCCAGCCAUGCCGCGUGUGUGAAGAAGGUCUUCGGAUUGUAAAGCACUUUAAGUUGGGAGGAAGGGCAGUAAGCGAAUACCUUGCUGUUUUGACGUUACCGACAGAAUAAGCACCGGCUAACUCUGUGCCAGCAGCCGCGGUAAUACAGAGGGUGCAAGCGUUAACCGGAAUUACUGGGCGUAAAGCGCGCGUAGGUGGUUCGUUAAGUUGAAUGUGAAAGCCCCGGGCUCAACCUGGGAACUGCAUCCAAAACUGGCGGGCUAGAGUAAGGCAGAGGGUGGUGGAAUUUCCUGUGUAGCGGUGAAAUGCGUAGAUAUAGGAAGGAACACCAGUGGCGAAGGCGACCACCUGGGCUCAUACUGACACUGAGGUGCGAAAGCGUGGGGAGCAAACAGG